rnacentral:rRNA from 1 species
GAUGAACGCUGGCGGCGUGCCUAAUACAUGCAAGUCGAGCGAACGGACGAGAAGCUUGCUUCUCUGAUGUUAGCGGCGGACGGGAGAGUAACACGUGGAUAACCUACCUAUAAGACUGGGGUACCUUCGGGAAACCGGGGCUAAUGCCGAAUGAUUUAUUGACCCGCAGGGUUCAAAAGUGAAAUACGCUCUUGGGUUCACUAAUAGAUGAACCCGCCCUCCAUUAGCUAGUGGUUAGGGUAGCGGCUUACCAAGGCAACGACGCAUAGCCGACCUGCGAGGGUGCUCGGCCACGCUGGUACUGGGGCACGGUCCGGACUCCUGCGAGAGGCAGCCGUAGGGAAUUCUCCCCGAUGGGCGAAGGCCUGACGGAGCGACGCCGCGUGAGUGAUGGAGGUCUCCGGAUCGUAAGACUCUGUUAUUAGGGAAAAACAUAUGUGUCAGUAACUGUGCACAUCUUGGCGGUACCUAAUCAGAUAGCCACGGCUAACUACCUU